UACGGAAGGCAGCAGUGGGGAAUAUUGGACAAUGGGCGGAAGCCUGAUCCAGCCAUGCCGCGUGUGUGAAGAAGGCCUUUUGGUUGUAAAGCACUUUAAGCGAGGAGGAGGCUACUAGUACUAAUACUACUGGAUAGUGGACGUUACUCGCAGAAUAAGCACCGGCUAACUCUGUGCCAGCAGCCGCGGUAAUACAGAGGGUGCGAGCGUUAAUCGGAUUUACUGGGCGUAAAGCGUGCGUAGGCGGCUGAUUAAGUCGGAUGUGAAAUCCCCUGAGCUUAACUUAGGAAUUGCAUUCGAUACUGGUCAGCUAGAGUAUGGGAGAGGAUGGUAGAAUUCCAGGUGUAGCGGUGAAAUGCGUAGAGAUCUGGAGGAAUACCGAUGGCGAAGGCAGCCAUCUGGCCUAAUACUGACGCUGAGUACGAAAGCAUGGGGAAGCAAACAAGGAAUUAAGGAAUAACC
rnacentral:rRNA from 1 species